UGCCGCGUGCGGGAAGAAGGCCUUCGGGUUGUAAACCGCUUUUGUCAGGGAAGAAAUCCUUUGAGUUAAUACCUCGGGGGGAUGACGGUACCUGAAGAAUAAGCACCGGCUAACUACGUGCCAGCAGCCGCGGUAAUACGUAGGGUGCAAGCGUUAAUCGGAAUUACUGGGCGUAAAGCGUGCGCAGGCGGUUAUAUAAGACAGAGGUGAAAUCCCCGGGCUCAACCUGGGAACUGCCUUUGUGACUGUAUAGCUUGAGUGCGGCAGAGGGGGAUGGAAUUCCGCGUGUAGCAGUGAAAUGCGUAGAUAUGCGGAGGAACACCGAUGGCGAAGGCAAUCCCCUGGGCCUGCACUGACGCUCAUGCACGAAAGCGUGGGGAGCAAACAGGAUUAGAUACCCUGGUAGUCCACGCCCUAAACGAUGUCAACUGGUUGUUGGGAAGGUUCCUUCUCAGUAACGUAGCUA
rnacentral:rRNA from 1 species